rnacentral:lncRNA from 1 species
CCCCAUUUUCAACCUUUGGGAAAUGACUUGCUCCUUAAGAGUUAUAUGACUUUUGACCUCUCUGCUUGAGGGAGAUGAAGAGUGACUUGUCAGUGGGAAACCACAAAAUGAUCCUUUGGUUAUGAACGCACCCAGAGUUGACUGGCCAAUGUUUGUGUAAUAGAUACACAGGGCCUUGAACAGUGUGGGUGUAUUGAGAGGUAUCUGGGAAAUGUAAUGUGCUUUAAAUUACCAAGAAGUAAUUUGAUCUGAAUAAGGCAACUCCAAAGAGAGCUCAUUAUGUUUCACCAAAUGCAAUUGCAAACUGUAAUUGGAUUUUUUUUUAAAGAUGAACAGCAAACCCAGGGAAGUGGUGCAUUUAUCAUUUUUGUCAAUCCCUUUCUAGAACUUGAGCACUAGGGGCAAUGGCACACAGUGUCAACCGCCCUCCGGAACAGAGAGUAUUCUGUAACUCAGAUAGGGUAGGCAGACUUUGCUCUUCUUCUGAACACAAUAGCUGUUGGUGUGUUUUGAGCAGAGGAGGCAUUGUUCAGUGGACAUUUUUAGAAGGUUAAUCUGAGAGUGGUAUUUGGAGAAGUUUGAGGGUCUGAAAGGAAAUUUGAGCAAGGUAGAAUAUGAGACUGUUGUAUUAGCCCAAACUUGUAAGGUUGGAGGUCUGGACCUGGGAAGAGGUGGUGGGUUUGGCAUGGAGGAUGUGAGUAUGAGGAUGGAUUCAAUGCAACUGCACUAGAGCAUUUAAUAACUAGUGGCAUAUUGGAGAUAGUGUGUCAUGGAAAUAACCCUGGUCUAAGCAUCAGGAAGAUCAAAGAGGUUUUCAGAGCAAGGCUGAAGCUUAGUUUUCUAUUUUAUGAAAAAGAAUUGAACUACAGUGAUCUCCAAUUCCUUUCCAGGCCUAACAUUUUAAAAUAGGAAAAUUUAAAGACAUUACAACUUUGCCCUUCAUCCCUGUCAGGAGGCUUAACAUCAGGAAAGAGUAAGAGGUACAGUUGAUGUUUGGUGUAUCUCUGACUUCUCACUGGUACCCUGGCACCCCCAUAUAGAUCCCUGGCCAACUGAAGCCCCCAGUUUUACAACCAUAUCAACGUUUCUGAUCCCCUUCCAGAGUCACAACUCAUCUGUCUUAGAUGUACAUGUGUUGGUGGGUGAUUGUGUCCAUAACCACGUGAUCAGUCCAAGCUUGGUGUGGUUUCUGUGGUUACUGCAGCACUCUCAUAAACUAAUUUGUAGAAAGGGAUAAAUAGCCUAUAAUGGCUAAAUCAUUUUUUUCUUAGAGAUGAUAAUAUUUCAUCUUUGCAUGGUUGGGCCAAUUUUCAGAACUAUUCACAUUUCACUUACACUUCUUAGAUGCACCAUGGGGCACAUCAACAUCGGAGGUGUCAAUACAUCUCCUUUACAGAUGAGGAAACUGAGAUGCAGGACAAUUAAGUAGGCACAAAUCUGCUCAGCUAAUAAGUGGCAAAGACACUCUGAAAUGCAGGCUUUCUCACUCCAAGUCCAUUGCACUCUCCAUUCUAUUAGCAUAUUCAUGGGAAUUUAAAGUCCCUGGGCAAGAAUAUAGAAGAAGCAUUUUGGGGCCAGAGGCAUUUGAAACCAUCCAAUGAUCACCAUUUGGUCUGUUUUUCUACUUGCGACUAUUGUCCCUGCAACCAUCUCCUGUGGAAUCAUCCUGACAGCAUUCUACCUAGUAAUCCAUAGCAAUAAUGAUUCUAAUCACACUUUCUCCCUGACCAGUCCAAGGAACGCUUAGUGUAUUAAUGUUCUUAAUUAAUCUUCAUGACAUCUUAGCAAAUGAAGCAGAUUGCAAGUAGGAUGUCCCACUUGGCUGACUGGGAAGCUGAGGUAGGAAGCAAGGUUACAGGGCUGCCUCAAGGUGAGAAUAAAUCAGCAGAGUCUGUGAGCCAAGAAUAGCCUUUUCACAGCGGAAGCUUAAAAGUCUAUUGGGAAGGGGCUUGUGCUAUUCUCCUUGGAAGAUUACUGUUCAGGCACCAGAAAAAGAAAAAAAAGCCACUUUAAAGUCAAGCUUUUCUCUGCUUAGUUAUUUUUCAGUGCCUCGGAAUUCACUACUUCUCUUCCUUUGGGGUCCCCACCUUUUAUGCAGCUCAGGUGGCAUCUUCUUUCUGUCUUCUGGGAGCACAUGCCUAAUUGUCCUGCAGUUGGCCAUCUCCUUUACCCCUGCAGUGUCACUUCCCUGAUAUCUCCUCUGAGACUGGUGUACUCCUGUUUCUAAUGGUGCCUCAGGAAUUUGCCCCAUGGGCUCCCCUUUCCUUUAUUCGGGAACCCGGAAUGGGGUCUUGUUUCCACAGUUUACACUUCUCCAUUGGGAGAACGUGUGUUUGUUUCCAAUAUUGCAUUUCAAUGUUUUAUUUUCAUCAGAGAGAAGAUGGAGUGACUUCAUCUUUCUGUGUUAAAAAUGAUGAUUGUGUCCAUAACCACGUGAUCAGUCCAAGCUUGGUGUGGUUUCUGUGGUUACUGCAGCACUGGGGAUGGGCCCAGGGUAGCAAUGACUGAUUGCCUUGUGGCAAAGCAAAGGAGGAGAGUGUUGUUUGUCUGUGGCAGGGAGUCCGGUUACACUGGGGGAAAGGGAAUGGAAUUCCUGUAGGCUGACAGGAAGACCAUAGUUAUCUGUGGGAAAAAGAGUGAUUAUGUUGCUCUGUUGGUGGAAAAUGUGGUUGCCUUUAACCUUGAGCCCAACCAAAGAAUCCUAUUACGAUUUACUUUGACACUGUAUUCAAACCACGCCCCCCACAACAAUUAACCAUCUUUCAAAUAUCAUCAGGAUGUGAGUUAUCAAAAAUAAUAUUACUCUGAUGGUAAAAGUCUCCUUAAAAGCCUAAGCCACUUAGCUCAGCAAAGAUAAAAAGGCCAAAGCCCAUGCCAAAAAAUCACCAAAAUAUUUACUGUGUCUCUUUUCAAAAUCAUUGUCCAUGACAUUUUCUUAAAAGCAUCAUAAGAUCCAGACAUGUAAUACAGGCAUGGGAAACAGCCUAAGUAAUCUUUUUUACAGUUUUUUUUUUUUUUUUUUUUUUUACAAAAUAUUUGCUCAAUACUUACCUUCGGUGACUGGAGAUAAAUGAAAUGGUAAAGGAGAAGAUUAAAAUGCUGGCAAAGUUCUAGCAGCUUCAAGGGCAGUGCUGGGAAAGAAAUGCUAUAUGUGUUGCCACCUGCCAUUCUCAAGUCCAUGGCAGACAUCACUAAUGGAUCACCUCACUCUUCCCUGCGGAGCCUGUUCUCAGUGCACAGUCUUCCUCACCAUGGUGCUAAACAUAGCCACAGUCAAAUUUUAGGACUUGGUUCUCCUGUUGAAAACCUUUUACUUUCCCUGUUGUAGAGCAAACUGACUUACCCUGCUUUCCUCCAGCAUGAAACCAAAGGUACAGAGAAACUUGUCAUUGCAUGAUGGGUGGGGGGGAUUGGUAUUAAUAUAAUUAGGGUAUUUUCCAGGAGAGCUAGGUUGAUCUGAAGUCUACAGCUAUGAUAGAAUCAUCUCCAAAUUUAGGGCACACUUAAAAAUGCUGCAUCAUUAAUGAAAGAAAUGCAAUUUAAAGCAUCAAUGUUUUGCCUUUUGAGUUACAAGUUUGAUCAUACAGAGAGUUUGCGGGAGGAUUGUGGAAAUAUGUAGUCUCAUUCACCUUGGGAAGUGGAAGUGUAGAUUGAUACUCUAAUUUGGAGGGCAAUUUAGAAGUAAUCUCAAAAAUUAAACUCACAUACCAUUUGUCCCAGUAAUUCCACAUCUACUGAUGUGUUGCAACAAAUGGUUAAGAAUAUGUAUUUAAAGGAUAUGUGUGAUUUUGUAAUACAUUGAUGGCAAAAUAAUGAAAAAAUAAAAUUAGAGUUUACAAUCUCUAUAUCUUGGUAGAAUUCUAUGCAGGCUUUCUGAAGAAUGGGGUAGGUACCAAAUGGUACAUGGCAUUGUUUCUUUAUUCAAUUCCUUCUCUCCUUAGCUAUGUUUCUUUUCCCCAUUGUUUUCACGCUUGGUCAUUUAACAUGCCUUGCCUAAGGGAUGUGCGUGACCAUGAUACUUGACACAUUCUAAACCAUGACUGCCUAGCUUGACUGGGACACUUUAGCCCCAGGGCUGAAAUUACAUGAGCAUAAUGCCUCAUAGUGGCUACUUUAUCAGUUUGUGUUCCAGAGUGAGAAACUGAUUGGAGCAGAGCCAGAUGAACCCAGCUAAGGCAAUCCAAGCCCCCUAACCACGCCCAAUCCACUACUCUUAUAUCAUAUAAGCAAUAAAUAAAUAUUUGUUCUAAGCCACAGGGCUUUUGAGGUUGUUAUAUAGCAUUACUGCAGCAAAACCUGACUGAUAUAUCUAACAUAGACAAAAUGUCAGGAAAACACUAAAUGAAAAAUGCUAAUUAUAUAACAACAUUAUUAAUAUGAUGGGCAUUUAAAAUAUCUAUCCACCCAUCCAUUUUUGCUUAUGUAUGUGUAGAAAAUAUCUGAAAAGAUAUAUGGAGAAACUAUCAGCUGUAGGCACCUCUAGAGUGUUUGGGGCAGCAGGGAAGAGAGAUGUGGUAUUUAAUUCAUAUUUUUACUAUAUGAAAAUUUCCCAAAAUGUGUUUCUUUAAUAAUAAAAAUAUUAAGAAAAGUUUUCAUUCUUAGUAUUUGCUAUUUCAGUUUUUUUUUUCUAAUUUUCAGCAUUGAUUUCUUUAUGAUGCCACUAUACUUUUAAAAUACUAGGAGUUCGGUGGGGGGCGGAAUCCACAAGAAGAAAUGCUCUGAUAAACGAAACACAAAUGGUCAAAUGUAUUCACUCAACAGAGACUUAACUCAUGAUCUGACCUCAGAGAUCAGUUCCCAUACUGAGGAGGUCGGUGGAGAUGACCGUGGGGGUAGGUGGCAAUGAUGAGUUGCUGCCUGGGUUUGUGUUGCUUUGUCACCGAAACAAAGGCAAAUACCGAGAAGUUGGAAGGAGAAUGGCACAUGCUCUCUCUUGGUCUUUCUUUCGAGGGCAGAAUUGGUGUUUUAAAAAGAAAAGCAAGAAAUCAUAUUCAUAGUGCAUUUAACAUUUUUUUUUUCUAAUUUAAAAAAUUAUGAAAAAGGCUGAUCCCAGACUAAACUGAGAAGAAAUAUUUCCCUGAAUUCUAUCCCAGGCCAAGAAAACCAGUCUUUGCUUUGGUCGUAUUCCUUUGUGAUUCAUUUAUGGGAAAAACAAAGAUCUCUUUUUCCCAGGAGGCAUUGUCCCACACUGUUUCCUCUCAGAAUAUCCCUCUCUCACCUUUACCUUUUGCCUCAUUAAUUCAGUUCAGUUUCACAGCUCAGCUGUCACCUCAUUUAGACCCCUGCUGUUUCCCCCAGGACAGGAGUUGCCCUCCUGUGCAUCCCACUAUUACUGUGUCUAUAAGAGUAGUGUGGAACUAGCACGUUUUGCUGUCAGCACCCAUUUAUUUGUCCUUCUCACCCAUUAAGCACUUUAAGGUUAGGCACAGUGGCUUAUUUAUCAUCAUAUCUCUAGUAACCCAUCCUGUGCUUGGAGGGUAUUAGGUGCUCAAUAAACAGCUGUUGACUUGCUAAAAAGAAGAGUGCAGAUUUGAUAAGGUAAUCUGUACCCUGAUGCUAAUGUCUAGCCCUUUAGGAAUUUUUGCCUUUUAAUAGAAAAGGGCUGGCAGGGCAGGGCACUGAUUUUUUUUUUUCCAGAGGAGUCUUCUGAUUCAUAGGGUGAACGAGUGUCUGGAUUUGGCCAGAACUGAGGAAUCUCCCAGGAUGUAGGACUUUCCUUGCUAACAGGGGGAAAGUCUUGGACAAAUUGAGAUGACUAGUCACUCUGCUUUUAGAUCAGUCCCAUAAAAAUUACCACAUCUUCUUAUACACAGAUCAAGGCAACCUGUGCCAUCCUCUCCCUAGAAUUUAGAAAGAAUAUCUUUAAUAUCUUAUUGCUGAUAUUUCCA